rnacentral:tRNA from 1 species
GUUAAAGUGGCAGAGACCGGUAAUUGCAUAAAACUUAAGAUUUUAGAA